UCAGGCAGUCCCCUUGUGGUCCUCUUCCUUUCUUGUUUCACAUUAUAGCAGAUGACACCAUGUGGAAGCAAGUGUGAGAAGAAGAGAUCAAUGGGAGAAAAGAAGACAGAGAGCAAGGUUGAGAGAAAGUUGCUACGCCAAGACCUCCGCACGCCUUCCUCCUCCUGCUCUCACUCUGCCUGGCUCCAGACCUUCCCAGUCCAGAAACCAAACGGUUAAUGCUAGAAGCAGCAGGACAGGCCCCAACACGCUGGCCAAGGUCUUCUGUUGCCCUCAAUACCCUUAGGAAUUCCCAAGUGUGGAUCAGAGCAUCCAACUUCAAGUCUGUCUCUGAUUCCAAUUGCCAGAGCUCUUGAAUGGGUCAUGAGCUUGAAGGUUGCAGAGUCUCCAGAGAAGCACAGCUUCUUGGAAGUUCUUAAGAGUCCAGGCACUAGUCUCUGGAAAAUCUGGAGUUCCUGGGGACUAUUAGAAGCUUUAACUUUCCAUCAAAGUUAAAUAUCUCAAAAACUGUUCCUGGGAAGUGUCAUCAACACCUUCUUAAUUGGCGGCCUUGGCAUUGACUCAAGGCUGUGGUUUCUACUUCAGAUCCUGGAGCAACAUCAAGCCCUCCUCCAGGAUCAGUUCCCUUCUGGAUGGAAGAUAAGUAAGAACCUCCAGCUUGGGGAAAUAAAAGGAACCUAGCUUCGGUGAGUUGCAUAAGCCGUAUUUACACUGCUGUUAGAAAAUGCCAUUCUCUCCGGGAGAUUAUUGGCCAAAAGCCCUUGACCUCCAUCCUCACAGUAAGAGUAAGAGAUGAGAUAAGACAAAUUGAUUCUUCAGCAAUGGACGUUUGUUCUGAGGGCCAGAGGUCAAGAUCUUAGAAGAAGGAAGCACUUGUGCUUGCAUUCAGAUGGGUGAAAGCUUGGACAGCAGGACCCGGCAGAAGGAACCACCAAAGGGCUACCUAUCUCACUCUUGGAAAACUUUCCACCUCAGACUGUGAUCACAGCAGGUUUUACUUGCUUUGCACAUCCUCUAGAUGCAUGUGCCAGCCAGCUCUCUACAAGUAUAGCAGGACCUACAGUCCAGGGACUUUGUUCUAAAACUGCAGCUGGAGUUCUUCCCUUUUCUGAUUUCUCUUUCAUACUGUGGCCCUCACAUUCUUCAAAUGAGGCCGUUUGGAGCUUUGUCUGAGCAGUAGAGUUGAACAGCAAGAGAAAAAAUGACAGCCCCACCAAAAAUGGAUCCCUUCAGAGGAACAACAACAGUAGAUUUGGAAGAGCCUAUAAAAAAAAGAAAUUUUCCUCUACGUUCUUCUGGUGUUGAGUGAAGGAGUGAAAUAAAAGAGGAAAUUGUGAGGACAUGGAUGUUUGGAAUAUCUGAGAGGAGAGGAGUCCACAUUUCUGCUCAGGUAGAACCUAAGAAAGUGGUAAGACCAGGAGAAGAAAUGGCCCAGAGAUGAGAUGUGUUGCUUAGGUAAACAGGGAGCAUGUCCCAGGCUCCAGUGUGACCACACAUCAGCAGUUGGACCUAUGUGGCUGGUAGUGACUGGAAAUUGGUAGGGCCUUGGACAAGUUCACUGAGUUUCUCCGCUGAGCAGGAGUUAGGAGAGACCCUGAAAGAGCCCUGGAGGAGCCAGCAGUUAGAAGCAAGUGUCAGUUAACAGCCCCUUGCAUUACCAAAGACUAAGCAACAGCCAGGUAGAAGACCAGAGAAAUAAGGUGAUGACCACAUGAAUGGUAAGGGUGGAGGCCAGGCUCCGGGAUGCUUGGCAUUGCAUCUGGCAGCAGAAAUGAUGAUGUGACCCAUUGGAGUGGAGGUGGGGACACUCCAUGUUGAGAUUAUUUUUUCACUUCUCCAAGAAAAUGGACGUUAUGAUAUAAAUUAAGUUACCUGAGUGAGGAGACUGAUAUGCUUAUAUCCUAUUGAGGUGGGAUUCCACAGUUGGAUAAAAUUCAUAGUACACGGGUCUACUAAAAAUAACCAGAAAGACCUAAACCCAACAUUCAUAGUGGUCUCUUCUGGGUAGUAGAAUCAUUGGGUCCUUCCUUCAUUGCUUCCUUCCUUCCUUCCCUCCUUUUUUCUUUCCCCCCUCAUUGCCUCUGUCCCUCUCUUUCUUCCUCUCAGGUAUCUUUUUGUCUAAUUUUCACAAUGGACUGUUUUUCUACUUUUCUACAACAAACAAUAAAUUA